UGGAGAGACUGCGGCCAGGGUAGCUCAUCUCCCUCCCAGCCACAAAGGAUUUCUUCCCCAGGGCAGUAUUUCCCAGUUAGGCUUCCCUGUCGUCAUCACCUCCUUCUUGACUGAACUUUUCAAGAUUUCAGCAAAGUUACCCUGCUGCUAAGUCACUAGCAAAGUUUGGACCCCACACCAAGAUGAUCAUCUUAGAAAUGUACUAAA
rfam:Loxodonta africana unplaced genomic scaffold scaffold_29, whole genome shotgun sequence.